AACGCACAUUGCGCCCCUUGGUAUUCCUCGGGGCACGCCUGUUCGAGCGCCGUUUCAAACUUAAGGCUCUGCCUUGCGUUGGCGCCAUCCGCUCAGCGGAUGCGUUGAAACUCCUCGGGCGCCUCUCUGAUCUCGGCAGCGUAGCAAGUCUUCCGCUGUUGGGUCCCAGCAAAGGUCGCCGGUACUCACGAGUUUGGCCUCGAAUCAGGCGGGGAUACCCGCUGAACUUAA
rnacentral:misc_RNA from 1 species